CUCCAGACUCCUACGGGAGGCAGCAGUGGGGAAUAUUGCACAAUGGGGGAAACCCUGAUGCAGCAACGCCGCGUGAGUGAAGAAGUAUUUCGGUAUGUAAAGCUCUAUCAGCAGGGAAGAAGAUGACGGUACCUGACUAAGAAGCCCCGGCUAACUACGUGCCAGCAGCCGCGGUAAUACGUAGGGGGCAAGCGUUAUCCGGAUUUACUGGGUGUAAAGGGAGCGUAGACGGCGAUGCAAGCCAGAUGUGAAAGCCCGGGGCUCAACCCCGGGACUGCAUUUGGAACUGUGUGGCUGGAGUGUCGGAGAGGCAGGCGGAAUUCCUAGUGUAGCGGUGAAAUGCGUAGAUAUUAGGAGGAACACCAGUGGCGAAGGCGGCCUGCUGGACGAUGACUGACGUUGAGGCUCGAAAGCAUGGGGAGCAAACAGGAUUAGAUACCCCCGUAU
rnacentral:rRNA from 1 species